rnacentral:lncRNA from 1 species
CGUGAAUCCGGGAGGCGGAGCUUGCAGUGAGCCCAGAUCGCGCCGCUGCACUCCAGCCUGGGCUACAGAGCGAGACUCCGUCUCGAAAAAGAAAAAAAGAAAAAGAAAAAGAAAAACCAAGCAGGAAUUCUGGAGCUAAGAUAUUUAUUUGACAAACUGAAAAUGCAUCAGAGACUCUGAACAGCAGAACUAAUCAAGCAAAAGAAAGUAGAAUAAAAAAGAGAGAAGCAUGUACAUAAGAUCUAGAAAUUAGCUUCAAAUUAUAAGAGUUAUUGGUCAUAAAGAGGAGGUUGAGAGAGAGAGAUCUGGGUAGUAAGUUUAUUCAAAAAGAUAAUAGAGAACAUUACAAACCUAAAGAUCAGUAUUCAAGUACAAGAAGGUUACAGAACACCAAGAUAAUUUAACUCAAGACUAACUGGACACACUUAAUAAUCAAACUUCCAAAGGUCAAGAAUAAGGAAAGGAUUCUAAAAAGAGCAAGAGAUAAGAACAAACAACAUUUAAAGGAGCUCCAAUACAUCUGACAGCAAAUUUCUCGGUGGAAAUCUUACAAGCCUGGAGAGUGCCGUGACAUAUAUAAAAUGCUGAAGGGAAAAGACUUUUAUCCCAGAAUAUCACAUCCAGCAAAAAUAUCCAUCAAACAUAAAGAGAAAUGAAGACUUUUCCAGACAAUCAAAAACUUAGGGAUUUUACAAACACCCGGCCUGUCCUACAAGAAAUGCUAAAGAGAGUUCUUCAGUCUGAAAGAAAGAAAUGUUAAUGACCAAGAGGAAAUCAUCUAAAGGCACAAAAUUCACUAGUAAUAGUAAAUACGCAGCCAAAUACUGAAUAUUAUACCACUGUAAUUGUGCUGUGCAAACUACUUGUAUCAUCAGUAGGAAGAUUAAAAGAUGGAUCUAUCCAAAAUAAUAACAACUACUUCUUAAGACACAGUAUAAAAAGAUAGCAAUAGAAACAACAAAAUUUUAAGAAGUAGGGGGAUAAAGCUAAAGUGUAGAGUUUUUUUUAGUUUUCUUGUUGCUUGUUUUUAGUUUCUUAGUUUGUUUUUGAGGUCAGAGUUAAGUUGUCAUAAUUUAAAAAUAAGUGGUUAUAAGACAUUAUUUGCAAGCCUCGUGGUAACCUCAAAUCAAAAAACCUACAAGAGAUACACAUAAAUAAAAAGAAAUUAAUUAAAAACUACUACAGAGAAAAAUCACUUUCACACAAAGAACAGAAAGGAAGGAAGGAAGAGAAGACCACAAAACAACCAAAAAACAAAUAACAAAAUUGCAGGCAUAAGUUCUUACUUAUCAAUAAUAGCACUGAAUGUAAAUGGACUAAAUUCUCCAAUCUAAAGAAAUAGAGUGGCUGAAUGGAUAAUUAAAAAUAAAAGAACCAACUAUCCACUGCCUACAAAAAAACACACUUCACUUAUAAAGUCACACAUAGAGAAAAUAAAUGGUUGGAAAAGAAUAUUCCAUGCAAAUGGGAAAAAAUACGAACAGAGUUUGCUAUACUUGUAUCAGAAAAAAUAGAUUACAACAUGAAAACUAUAAGAAAAGUAAAAGAGUUUAUUAUAUUGUGGUAAUGAAGUCAAUUCAGUAGGAGAAUAUAACAAUAAUAAAUAUAUAUUCACCCAAGAUGAGCACUCAGAAACGUAAAGCAAAUAUUAUUAGAGAUAAAGAGAGAGAUAGACCUCAAUACAAUAAUAGCUGGAGACUGCAACACUCUACUUUCAGCAUUAGACAGACCCUCGAGACCUUCCAAAAUCAACAAAGAAAAAACAGACUUAAUCUGCAUUAUAGAACAAAUGGACCUCAUAGACAUUUAUAGAACAUUUCAUACAAUGGUUGCAGAAUACAACAUCUUCUGAGCACAUGGAUCAUUCUCAAGGAUAGACCAUAUGUUACACUAUAAAACAAGCUUUUAAGUAUUCCAAAAAUUAGAAAUCAUAUCAAGUAUCUGCUCUGACAACAAUGGAAUAAAACUAGAAAGCAAUUACAAGAGGAACUUUAGAAACUAACCAAACACAUGGAGGGUAAACUAUAUGCUUCUAAAUGACCAGUGGGUCAAUGAAGACAUUAAGAAGGAAAUUUAAAAAUUUCUACAAAAUAAAUGAAAAUGGAAACACAAUAUAGUAAAACCUAUGAGACACAGCAAAAGCAGUAGUAAAAGGACAGUUUAUAGUAAUAAGCACCUACAUCAAAAAAGUUGAAAAACUUCAAAUAAACAACAAAAUCAUGCAUCUUAAAGAACUAGGCAAGCAAGAGUGAAGCAAACUCAAAAUGAGUAGAAAAAAAUGAAGAUUAGAGCAAAAGAAAUUAAAACAAAAAUAUAGAAAAGAUCAACAAAAUUAAAAGUUUGUUUUUUGAAAAUAUAAACAAAAUCAACAAACCUUCGCCAGACUAAGAAAAAAGAAGACCCAAAUACAUAAAAUGAAAGAUAAAAAAGAAACAUUGCAACUGAUACUGUGAAAAAAUCAAACAAUCAUUAGAGAUUACUAUGAGUAGCUAUAUGCUCAUAAAUCUAAAAACCUAAAAGAAAUGGAUUAAUAUCUAGACAAUACAAACUACCAAGAUUGAACCACAAAGAAAUCCAAAGCACGGGUAAAUCAAUAACAAGUAAUGAGACCAAAAUGAUAAUAUAAAUUCUCCUAGCAAAUGAAAGCCUGAGACCCAAUGGCUUCAUUGCUGAGUUUUACCAAACAUUUAAGAAGAAUUAAUACCCAUUCUAGUCAAACUAUUCCAAAAAACAAAAAAGAGGAUAUACCUCCCGACUUAUUCUAAGAAGCCAGUAUUACCCUGAUACCCAAACUAGAAAAAGACACAUCAAAAGAAAGAAAACUAUAGGCCAAUAGCUUUGAUUGACAGUCAUGUAAAAAUCCUCAACAAAAUACUAGCAAAUCAAAUUCAACAACACAUUGAAAAGAUCAUUCCUCAUGACCAAGUGGGAUUUAUCCCUACAAUGCAAGAAUGGUUCAACAUAGGGAAAUCAAUUGAUGUGAUACACCAUAUAAAUAGAAUGAAGAAAUAAAAUCAUGUGAUCCAUUCAAUUGAUGUUCAUAAGGUAUUUCAUAAAAUUCAACAUACCUUCAUGAUAAAAACCCUCCAAAAACUGGGUAUAGAAGGAACAUACCUCGACACAACAAAC